GAUGAACGCUGACGGCAUGCCUAAUACAUGCAAGUCGAACGAGAGGAAGGAAAGCUUGCUUUUCUGAAUCUAGUGGCGAACGGGUGAGUAACACGUAGGUAACCUGCCCAUGUGCCCGGGAUAACUUCUGGAAACGGAUGCUAAAACCGGAUAGGUAGCAGACAAGCAUUUGACUGCUAUUAAAGUGGCUAAGGCCAUGAACAUGGAUGGACCUGCGGUGCAUUAGCUAGUUGGUGAGGUAACGGCCCACCAAGGCGACGAUGCAUAGCCGGCCUGGGCGGGCGGACGGCCACAUUGGGACUGAGACACGGCCCAAACUCCUACGGGAGGCAGCAGUAGGGAAUUUUCGUCAAUGGGGGGAACCCUGAACGAGCAAUGCCGCGUGAGUGAGGAAGGUCUUCGGAUCGUAAAGCCCUGUUGUAAGAGAAAAACGACAUUCAUAGGGAAUGAUGAGUGAGUGAUGGUAUCUUACCAGAAAGUCACGGCUAACUACGUGCCAGCCGCCGCAGUAA
rnacentral:rRNA from 1 species